UGGGGAAUUUUGGACAAUUGGGCGAAAGCCUGAUCCAGCAAUGCCGCGUGUGUGAAGAAGGCCUUCGGGUUGUAAAGCACUUUUGUCCGGAAAGAAAUCCUUGGCUCUAAUACAGUCGGGGGAUGACGGUACCGGAAGAAUAAGCACCGGCUAACUACGUGCCAGCAGCCGCGGUAAUACGUAGGGUGCAAGCGUUAGUCGGAAUUACUGGGCGUAAAGCGUGCGCAGGCGGUUUGCUAAGACCGAUGUGAAAUCCCCGGGCUCAACCUGGGAACUGCAUUGGUGACUGGCAGGCUAGAGUAUGGCAGAGGGGGGUAGAAUUCCACGUGUAGCAGUGAAAUGCGUAGAGAUGUGGAGGAAUACCGAUGGCGAAGGCAGCCCCCUGGCAAGUACUGACGCUCAUGCACGAAAAGCGUGGGGAGCAAACNGGAUUAAUNCCCUGGUAGUCCACGCCCUAAAANGAUGUCAACUAGUUGUUGGGGAUUCAUUUUCCUUAGUAACGUAGCUAACGCGUGAAGUUGACCGCCUGGGGAGUACGGUCGCAAGAUUAAAACUUAAAUAAUUGACGGGUCAUGCUGUUU
rnacentral:rRNA from 1 species